GACGAACGCUGGCGGCGUGCCUAAUACAUGCAAGUAGAACGCUGAAGGAGGAGCUUGCUUCUCUGGAUGAGUUGCGAACGGGUGAGUAACGCGUAGGUAACCUGCCUGGUAGCGGGGGAUAACUAUUGGAAACGAUAGCUAAUACCGCAUAAUAUUGACUAUUGCAUGAUAGUCAGUUGAAAGGUGCAACUGCACCACUACCAGAUGGACCUGCGUUGUAUUAGCUAGUUGGUGGGGUAACGGCUCACCAAGGCGACGAUACAUAGCCGACCUGAGAGGGUGAUCGGCCACACUGGGACUGAGACACGGCCCAGACGCCUACGGGAGGCAGCAGUAGGGAAUCUUCGGCAAUGGACGGAAGUCUGACCGAGCAACGCCGCGUGAGUGAAGAAGGUUUUCGGAUCGUAAAGCUCUGUUGUAAGAGAAGAACGAGUGUGAGAGUGGAAAGCUCACACUGUGACGGUAUCUUACCAGAAAGGGACGGCUAACUACGUG
rnacentral:rRNA from 1 species